AAAUGGUCUAUUCGCUUGUA
rnacentral:snRNA from 1 species